rnacentral:rRNA from 1 species
GGAGUUAGCCGGUGCUUCUUCUGUGAGUGAUGUCCUUCCUGCCGGCUAUUAACCCGCAGGCCUUCUUCCUCACUGAAAGUGCUUUACAACCCGAAGGCCUUCUUCACACACGCGGCAUGGCUGGAUCAGGGUUGCCCCCAUUGUCCAAUAUUCCCCACUGCUGCCUCCCGUAGGAGUCUGGGCCGUGUCUCAGUCCCAGUGUGGCUGAUCAUCCUCUCAGACCAGCUACGGAUCGUAGCCUUGGUGAGCCGUUACCUCACCAACCAGCUAAUCCGACAUAGGCUCAUCCGAUAGCGCGAGGCCCGAAGGUCCCCCGCUUUCCCCCGUAGGGCGUAUGCGGUAUUAGCCUGGGUUUCCCCAGGUUAUCCCCCACUACCGGGCAGAUUCCUAUGCAUUACUCACCCGUCCGCCGCUCGCCACCAGGGAGCAAGCUCCCCGUGCUGCCGCUCGACUUGCAUGUGUAGCGUCGCGCCACGCGUCAUCUGAGCGAGAUACAACUACUCGA